AGUUAAGUGUACGUGUCACCAAUUAAAAGAUGUCCAGCCCCUUGUCUGUCGGCCUCAUUCACAAGGUUUAUGAAUCGUCGAUCGACUUUGCUGGCUGCCAAGCAGCAUAUUCAGAAUGGGCUUUGAAGUAUGAAGAGACACCUAUGACGCGGUGCUGAUAGUUGGUUCCUUCACUCCCAAUUGGUCACAUCAACAGCCGGAAUGCUUCGAUGAGCUGGUCCAGAUCACAAAAUCGGGAGGAUUUAUCAUUGUAGGGACCUCGUCGGUAACGCUUGCAACAGACAUCGGAAAAGCUAUAGAGGCAAAACUACAGGAGCUCCAAGAGCGCAGCCUACUGUUCAUAGUGGACAAACCUACCCAGGCCAUGUUCUUCAAAGACUGGGAGGGAACCUUCUUCGUCUGCAAAAUCACGUGAUUUAGCCACGCCGAGGCGAAGGUAGUAGCAGUGA